UAUGUGAUCGUCUCUCGCAUAUCAAUAAGCGGAGGAAAAGAAACUAACAAGGAUUCCCCUAGUAACGGCGAGUGAAGCGGGAAGAGCUCAAAUUUGAAAUCUUAAAGGGUUUCCCUUUACGAAUUGUAGUUUAAAGAAGUGUUUUCUGUUGAGGUUUUGGUAAAAGUUCUUUGGAAUAGGACAUCAUAGAGGGUGAGAAUCCCGUAUUUGACCUUUACUUUCAACUUUGUGAUACACUUUCAAAGAGUCGGAUUGUUUGGGAAUGCAGUCCAAAAUGGGUGGUAAAUUUCAUCUAAAGCUAAAUAUUGGCGAGAGACCGAUAGCGAACAAGUACCGUGAGGGAAAGAUGAAAAGAACUUUGAAAAGAGAGUUAAACAGUACGUGAAAUUGUCAAAAGGGAAGCGUUUGACACCAGUGUUGUUUUUCUGAAAAUCAAUUAAAGAACUGUUUAUGCUAAGUUGUUUAGACUUUAUCAGCUAACUGUUUAGUUUUGAGCUUUUCUUUAAUGCACUUUUCAGUUAACAAGUCAACAGUCAAUUUCUUUUGCUGUAAAAAAGCUUGAGGAAGGUGGCUUGAGAUUCGUCUUAAGUGUUUAUAGCCUCUUGCCUAUGCAGUCGGAGAGAUUGAGGUCUGCAGCGUAGAUCCUUCGGGCUAGAUGCAUUUGUGCUAAGUUAUAGCAUUUUAUAGACAACUUGUUGACUAUGAUUUGUCUUGUAGCUUACUCGCUUAUGUUAUUUUACCUACGCUUAGGAUGUUGACUGAUAUGUAGUCGUA
rnacentral:rRNA from 1 species